rnacentral:lncRNA from 1 species
UGAGAUUUUGUUUUACUUAUAUAACUAACAUGCUUUUUGUUUUUCAACAAGUAAUAAUGGUCUAGAAAUACAGAUUUAAAUUGCACAUGUUCGUUAGCUUCUUCACUUAUUAUUAGCAUGACAAAAUUACUGGAUGCUGAUUGGUUGAGAUGAGUACAAUAUUUCAUUAAUUGUACUGCUGCAGUACAAUUAAUGAUUUUCCCACAACAAACAAAAUGGCGGAAAGGUAUUUUAAACACAAGCGUGAAAUGGAAUUGCGCUAGAGGAACUAGAUGAAAAUACGAACAAAAGCACCACAUUUUGGUUGAAAGUAUGGCAGGACUGGGCG